UACAGAGACUGCAAGCGUUUAUUCGGAUUUACUGGGCGUAAAGGGCGCGUAGGCGGCCACCGCAAGUCGACUGUGAAAUCUCCGGGCUUAACCCGGAAAGGUCAGCCGAUACUGCGGGGCUAGAGUGCAGAAGGGGCAACUGGAAUUCUCGGUGUAGCGGUGAAAUGCGUAGAUAUCGAGAGGAACACCUGCGGCGAAGGCGGGUUGCUGGGCUGACACUGACGCUGAGGCGCGAAAGCUAGGGGAGCGAACGGG
rnacentral:rRNA from 1 species